rnacentral:rRNA from 1 species
GGAAUAUUGGGCAAUGGGCGCAAGCCUGACCCAGCAACGCCGCGUGAAGGAAGAAGGCCCUCGGGUUGUAAACUUCUUUUGUCAGGGACGAAGCAAGUGACGGUACCUGACGAAUAAGCCACGGCUAACUACGUGCCAGCAGCCGCGGUAAUACGUAGGUGGCAAGCGUUAUCCGGAUUUACUGGGUGUAAAGGGCGUGUAGGCGGGACUGCAAGUCAGAUGUGAAAACCAUGGGCUCAACCCAUGGCCUGCAUUUGAAACUGUAGUUCUUGAGUGUUGGAGAGGCAGGCGGAAUUCCGUGUGUAGCGGUGAAAUGCGUAGAUAUACGGAGGAACACCGGCGGCGAAGGCGGCCUGCUGGACUGAAACUGACGUUGAGGCUCGAAAGCGUGGGGAGCAAACAGG